AGUUCUAAAUGGCGCGUUUUACUUAAAACAGAUACGGCUGCUGUCGACGAGUCAAAAGCAAUAUGCACUUUGUGUGAAAUGGAACGAAAAUAUCAGCGAAGCGCUUCAGGUUUAAGCUACCUUUAGCGAGCUAAGCAGCCACAGCUAAUUUGGUUGAUGCUAGCGGACUCAGCUCUAUUUGGGAGAGUGUACGUCGCCACCGACGUGGACGAAACCAAAUCGAAAAAAUUUACUGAAGCGCUUGCGAAUUGAGUGGCAACCAUAGACCGUUAAGAUUAUAUUGAAAUUGUGUGCAUGCGUUUUUGCUGUAUAAUGUAUCUGUACCUUUUUAAAAAGCAAGCAAUUUUUCCGAAGACUUUGAUUGUGUUACCUCAGUCUCGCUGCGCAUCUUUUUAGUUGAAAUAAUCAAAUAGCCUUAAUCUAAAGUCGAGUUCAUAAAGUAACUUUCUUUGCAUUUAUUUGAUUCCCAAUCAAGAUACACUGACACACCACAAUGGCAAGGAGACGGAUGACUAAACUUCCCCCUCUGUCCUUGACCACUCAUAAGAAACAUCUAAUACCUCAGGAAUGGGAAAUAAGGAAGGCCUAAUGAGUAUCUCAGACCACUGUGUUAUAGACCCCAUCACAGCUCAGCGAUAAGGACAGAGGUUACUCAGAAUCAAGGACAACAAAGCCAAAGAUCCACUGCCCUGUAAUGAAACCAUGAAGUCCUGCAACAAAGACUGUCCAUUUUGCCAGUUCGGUGGCUCUUUAGCUGUGUGUUUCUGUGUGCCUGAAUGAGUUCCUUGGUCAAAGCAAACAGUUGUUGCUAGGUAAACAUGGAUUAAACUCCACAUCUGGUGCAGACUUGUUUGCACAUGGCCAGGUGACUCAAGGUAUCAGUCAUUAUCAGUUCUGACAA